AGCACCGGCAUAACCACGGUAAUUCUGUGGCUAAUACGUGUAAAUGAGGGGCGCCAAGCGCGAGUGCGGCGCCCCUGGUCUUGUCGCUCGACCGACGGCGGGUAAAACCGCUAGCGUGAUUGCUGACAAGGGGACCUGACCGCGGCACUAGCCGUGGCAUGUGCGAUGGAUAUCAGACCUAUCAACUAGAUGCCCAGGUAUAGCCUGGGCAUGGUUAUAACGGGUACAGAGGAUCAGGGUUCGGUCCUGGAGAGGUAGCCUGAGAGAUCGCUACUACUUCUAAGGAAGGCAGCAGGCGCGCAACGUUCCCAAUGGGGGCACCCUGAGGACGUGAAGGGACAUAUCAAUGCCCGGCCCUUAAAGCCGGGCAAUUGAAAUGGGGGACUUUUAAACCCCACACCGAGUAACAAUUNNGAGGACAAGUCNGUGGNNNNNNNNNGGGCAUUGACCUGCCACGGUAGUAACGGGUGCAGAGGAUUAGGGUUUGAUCCUGGAGAGGUAGCCUGAGAAAUAGCUCCCACUUCCAUGGAAGGCAGCAGGCGCGCAACGUUCCCAAUGGUUUACGGACCGAGGACGUUAAGGAACAUAGCAAUACUUUGCUAAUAGUAAAGCAAUUGAAAUGGGGGAGAUCCAAAUCAUCCACCGAGUAACAAU
rnacentral:rRNA from 1 species